CACCUCACAAACCACAGUAAAAAUUGUAUUUUAUUUUAUUUUAAAAGUAUUUUUUUUAAAUAAAAUCCACACGUUACAUAUAUUUAAUUAAAUAUAUUUAAUUCCCAGGUAGAAAUUAGAGUCAAUUUGAGGUCACUUUUUGACUUUACAUGUUAAUUUGAUAGGAGAAGUCAAAAAAUUGACUCUUAUUUCUACCUGGGAAAAUAUUUUAUAUUAUUCGUGACUUUGUCAAAAGUUUCUUCAUCACCUGCUGCAUAUGGCAAAGUAGCUAUUGAUGCAAUUAGUUUCAUUUCAAGUGUUAUAACAAUUGCAUGAGCUGGCGAAGAUAUUACAUAAAUAAUUUAUUAUAUCACACGAGUUACCACGCAAACAAGAAAAAGGUCAUAAAUAUAUUAUUAGAAUGUUAUAUAAAAAAAAAAUGGUCACGCUAUAAUUAAAAAAUAAUCAAACAUUAUCUAUUGAUGCUGAAAGUGAACAAAUAAUAUCAUUAAUAGACAAUUUUCCAGAAGGUAUUUUGUUGGAAAUAUGUCGGAAUUAUUUUUUAAAAAUAAAAAGCCAGAAAAAAUAACGUUAUUAGAAAAUAAUUACGAAAAUAUAUUUAAGAGAGAUAUUAUGAUAAUAUGUUCUAUGAAAUUAUCAUCACAGAAUCAAUUAUUUUCAUUGUACAAAGAAAUUGUUCAUAAUGAAGCAACAAGUUUUGCUGUUAUGCCGAAUUUUGUCCGUCGAUGUGAUCCAAUUGAAUAACAAAAAGAUUUAACAUAUGCUGGAUUUGCUAACUUUGUUAAUGCAUUUGUAACAAAUCAAGAAAAUUUUAAACCCAAAAAUGAAGAAAAAUGUGAAAAAACAAAAAAUAAUUUCAAACAAUACGAAACAAUUUGUCAAGAUAAAAUUACUGGUUGUACAAAUGAUGUUUGUCAAAGAGUUGAUUAAUAAUUUAAACAAACAAAUUAAUAAAAUCAAAUUGAUUAUAAAAUUUAAUCAUUAAUAUUUAUAGCAAAAAAAUGAUAGUAAAAGUGCAAGAAACUAUCAUUGGAUUAAAAAUAAGGACAAUAAUUUUUGUCAAUGUUUGGACGAUCGACUUGAUACCAACAACAAAACAAUUCAAGCAUUCAGUUACAUGUGGCCUAAUACAAGUGGUGACAAAUUGAGUACACCAAUUGUUUUAAAUUAUAAUUAAUUUAUUUUAUAAUGUUUUUUAUUU